rnacentral:lncRNA from 1 species
ACCCAAAAGAUGACAGACCCGCCACAAAUACGGAGAAUUCUUUGUCUACAUGGACAUAAUCUCCUCUUUAUUUGCACGGCGUCGCACAUUAUACAAGUCACAGCCACAACCAUUCACAACACACAAUCACAAGUACAUUCAUGUAGUAACAUUAUCUGUUGAAAAUAUUUUUUAUCCGGAAACUUAUUUUAAAAUACUAAAAUCAUGAAAACUGUAAAACUUUUUUAAAAAUCGUUUCCCUCAUGAAAAUCUUUAUCUUUUAAAAAUUAGCUAUCAUG